CUUGGUGCAGGUCGGGAA
rnacentral:siRNA from 1 species